rnacentral:lncRNA from 1 species
GAUACACUGCCUUGAUAGUAUUACGUGCAGAGUAUGGCCUCUAGUGUUUAGAGGAUGCUUCUGGUUCCUUUUUCUUCCAGACAUUAUAUACAUAUGGAAAUCGAAAGAAAAACAUUCAUCUAAUUACAUAGCAUUCUAAAUAAUCCAUGACGAGAUAUGACAAAGCCAGCUAGCAUUCUAACCAAUCAUUCUUGAUGACGCCCAUGUCGCUGACCAUCCAAAAGCUUCUUAAUACCAUCCCCAUUCCCCCUUCACAUGGCAUUCCUGGCUCAAGGAAACAUGGGAAGAAUCAGGAUAGAGUGGAGGUAAUUCAGCAUCAUAAUAUUUUAAUAUCAUUGGUCACUCAAAUGUUAUGUGUGUAAAUCAAAAGAAUCAUGCCCUCGUAUUGCAGAAUGUUUCGAUUUCAUAAUUGCAUUCAAGUAAAACAAAAAUCCGAUCAUAAAAAAAAAUGCAUGCCUGACACAAAUGACCCACUAUUAGCUUGCACUAGUCACAAAAGAAAAUCGCAUACAUAAGUACAACAAAAACAUCUCAUAAGCUCGAGGUUCACAACUCAAAGGUUUGUGAUAAUAUUUCAGGACAAUGAAGUGGUCAUCAUGAUGACAAGGCUAGGCAUUUUCGGUUCUUAUACAUAUUUUAUCCAUUUAUAGGUAGUAAACACAAUGUAAUACUACUCCACAAAAUUGACUUACGCAAGUGAUUGCAAGACAUCUUAGGGCAAGCAUUAUCUAAAGUUGCUGAACUAGUAUACUGUUAAAAUGGCCCAAAAAAUCGAUCAUAUACUAACACCACCCCGUAGCUAUACCAAGCAGUGCAGUGAGUGGUGUGCAUUGCAAAAACUAUGUAACCUCAACAAAAGCAAAAUACAAAAAUCAUCUGAAGGCCAAAAGGCAAAACCUUGCAGGAUUAUCCUUGAGCGCGGGGAAUAUGGGCGGCCAAAUCAUCAUAAGAGGAUGUAUAUCACCCAAAUGCAGUUCUUCUGUCAUGUCAUACACUUUACGCAACUGCGUGCACUUGACAUCCAGGUGGAGUGCACAUCG